AUGACCAUACAGUUCAUGAUUGCAAUGCCAGGUGCCAGCACAGCUCCAGUGGAAAAAGACCGUACUGAAGAAAUGGUAACCCGGUGCAUAGUGGAGGUUCUGUCCAAUGCUCUGUCUAAGCCAAAUGCACCCCCCAUUAAUCCUGAAUGCAAAGAAAUCCUGAAGAAGAGUGAUAAAAAUGACAGAGAUAGAAGUGAAAACAAACAGCCUGAAGUGAGGCAGCCCAAAGAUCCAGCAGAGACCGAAAAACAUCCUACUGGGAGCGUGGAGGAAGAACAAAGACAGGCAGAAGAGGAAUCUAAAAAGUAUAUGGAAGGAGGUGAUGAGGAGAAACUUGCUCAUGAGGAAGGCAAGAGCAAGGAAGAGGAGGCUGGACACCACACACCUGCUCAGGACGAGACACUUCACACGGAAGAAAAAAAGCACUACCAGCAAACUGGGAGAGAGGAGGAGAGGAAUUACCACAGUGAAGAGGAAAGUAAAGAUGGCAAGUGUUGUGAAGAGGUAGAGGCUGCUGUUCUCACCAAGAAGUCCCAGUCUGAGGGCAUGAGCAUGGAUGAGUUCCAUGGUGGGAAUGAUCAGAGCCCCAGGGGCCGCUGGCACCUGGAGGAGGGAAUGCAGAGCCCUUACAAACAAAUUCGGGAAGGUGAAGAGGAAGAAAGGAGUGGGAAAUACCACCAUGAGUCUCAGGAACGUGGUUUCUCCCAGCAGCAGGAGCGUGAAGAAUCCGAGGAGAGUGAGGAAAGAGAAGAGGGAAAGGAACCCUACAAACCCAAAGGUUAUCAUGGGAAGCACAGAGCAGGUGAAUCCUAUGAAGAGAAGAGAGGCCAGGGUGGUGAGAGGGGGGAAGCAGCUGGGGGAUCACACCCAGGGGAGGCCAGUCUCUGGGAGCAGUGGAAGCACCGUCAGAAACAUCGGGAAGAGUCAGAGGAGAAGGGUGGCUCUGCUGGGAGGCGUGGGCCUGAGGAGCUGCAGGAGGAGAGGCCUGCAGGGCAGGGCGGUGAGGAGCACAGGGACAGCUGGCAGGAGAGCAGGGAAGAGGAAAACGAGAGGCAUCACCACAGCGAGGAGAGCAGUGAGAAGUGGCGUGAGGAGAGGAGACACCAUGAUGGAUCACACGGUGCUGAGGGGAGGAUGUACCUUGCUGAUGAAAACGAGGAAGAGCUGGACCGGUAUCUCAGCAAGGAGAAGCAGCGGCGUGUCGGAGGGAGAUCCCGUUUAGGGAACAAAGCAGAGGAAGGGUCACAGAAGGCCUAUGCUCCAGAGCACCAGCGGCAGGCCAGGAGGCACUACAGCACUGAGGACAGCCUGGAGGAGGAGGUGGAGGUGGAAAAGAAGCGUCACAGCAGUGACCAGGUGGAAAAUGAAGAGGAGGAAAGAUUUGCAGAGAGAGAAGAGUACAGAGGCCAUCUCCCUGCAGAGAAAGAGAAGAGAACUGCAGCAUCCUACAGGCCUUUCUACCCACUGCUGUGGUGGAAAAGCCGGCACUUGGACAAAAGGGAUGGUGCAGGGGAGCAGCUUCUGAAGGGCAGGCCUGCCCUGAGUGAGAAGAACCUUUUCCCUGAAUACAAUGACUAUGAGUGGUGGUCAGAAAAGCAAAUCCAGAGCGCUCUGAACCACAGGCGCACCGAGAAGAGGAAUCCCGGCAAAACGAGCAGGUACGGUGUGGAAAGGCAGUACAACAAGAUGGAUCAACUUGCACAACUUCUGAACUACAGGAAGAAGUCAGCUGAACUGCCAGAGCUGUACACCUCUGGAGAAGACGUGAAGAAACGUAGCGUGGCUGGGAAUGACAGAAGGAGCCUAAGCCAGAGGCCCCUGACGGAAGAGGAGUAUCCAGGAAAAACUGAGCCUCCACCCAUCAGUUAGCUCCCAUCAGCCAGAUCCUCCUCGUGUGUGUCACUGUUACCUGUUACAUUGCACAAAGCUGUGCUGGGGGCAGUGGAGGCUGGACGCUGAUCUAUACAGAUGUUAAUUGGUGUUGACAACAAGUCAUCGUGGUAAAGGAUUGGCUGCAUGAAGCUUCUCCUGCUCCCUGUGCUUGCUGUGGGACCCUCACCUGAGCCCUAGGGACAGCACCUGUAGCUGUGGCAUGGCAGGAGGCCACCACUGGGAAAAGCAGCUGGAAAACUUGGCCACCAUGGAUCUGGAGCUGCAGAACAUAGCAGAGAAGAUCAACAGCCUCAGGAGAGGCUGAAGGUGUCUCUUCAGUUUUUGUGUUCUGUUGUAAAUUCACUGCCCCUGGAUUGUUUGCCCUAAACCCAGGAAAUUCUAUUCACUUGUCCACUCUCGUGUAGUGAUUUACACAGCUCAAAGUGUCUUUAAUUUGCUCUUAUGCUCCCGAGACCUGAAUGGCAUGAAUUUUAGUAAUAUAACCUUUUGUGUGGGCAGGUAUUUUUAAUAUGCUUUUGGAGAUAAUUGUGUUAGUGUUCUUCAGGAAUAUAUUUGUCUGAGUUUGCAAUAAU